GACGAACGCUGGCGGCGUGCCUAAUACAUGCAAGUUGAGCGCUGAAGGUUGGUACUUGUACCCACUGGAUGAGCAGCGAACGGGUGAGUAACGCGUGGGGAAUCUGCCUUUGAGCGGGGGACAACAUUUGGAAACGAAUGCUAAUACCGCAUAAAAACUUUAAACACAAGUUUUAAGUUUGAAAGAUGCAAUUGCAUCACUCAAAGAUGAUCCCGCGUUGUAUUAGCUAGUUGGCGAGGUAAAGGCUCACCAAGGCGAUGAUACAUAGCCGACCUGAGAGGGUGAUCGGCCACAUUGGGACUGAGACACGGCCCAAACUCCUACGGGAGGCAGCAGUAGGGAAUCUUCGGCAAUGGACGAAAGUCUGACCGAGCAACGCCGCGUGAGUGAAGAAGGUUUUCGGAUCGUAAAACUCUGUUGGUAGAGAAGAACGUUGGUGAGAGUGGAAAGCUCAUCAAGUGACGGUAACUACCCAGAAAGGGACGGCUAACUACGUG
rnacentral:rRNA from 1 species